UAUAAUUUUAAGAAGAGUAUUAUACAAUUCCAUAAGCGCUAAAAACUAUUUCAUUGAUGUAACAAAAGGAUCACCUCUAUAAAUUAUAAAGUGUUAAAUCAUUUUUUACAUGCAAUGAGGAAAAAUAUGACUCAAAUUGUUAAGUCUGUUUAUAUUAUGAUUAUCUUUUUUUCUCUUUUUUUUCUUGCAAAGAACGUAAACGGAUAUAUGUGUAUCGACAAUGCUGAUUGUCCUCUUAAUUUAUGCCCGCCUACUAUGCAAGCGAUCUGCUUUUUUGGAGAUUGUGCAUGUGUUGCAGAUCCAUUGCCAGAGCCAGAACCAAUAGAAGAACCAUGAGAGUAUAAAAAUGUCAUGCUGUCAUUUAGUUAUUGUGUUGGCACCUAAUAUUUUGAUUUUUUUUUUUUAAUUUCGCAAAUCUUUUGGUUAUGAGUUUAUUACUCUAAGAUUAUGGUAAUAAAAUGAAAUAAGGCAGCGAAUAAUAUCAUUUAGAUUCUCCUUUUCUAUCUUAA